rnacentral:rRNA from 1 species
GGAAGGGGUGUAUUUAUUAGAUAAAAAACCAACGCCCUUCGGGGCUCCUUGGUGAAUCAUAAUAACUUAACGAAUCGCAGGGCCUUGCGCCGGCGAUGGUUCAUUCAAAUUUCUGCCCUAUCAACUUUCGAUGGUAGGAUAGUGGCCUACCAUGGUGGCAACGGGUAACGGGGAAUUAGGGUUCGAUUCCGGAGAGGGAGCCUGAGAAACGGCUACCACAUCCAAGGAAGGCAGCAGGCGCGCAAAUUACCCAAUCCCGAUACGGGGAGGUAGUGACAAUAAAUACUGAUACGGGGCUCUUUUGGGUCUCGUAAUUGGAAUGAGAACAAUUUAAAUCCCUAACGAGGAACAAUUGGAGGGCAAGUCUGGUGCCAGCAGCCGCGGUAAUUCCAGCUCCAAUAGCGUAUAUUAAAGUUGUUGCAGUUAAAAAGCUCGUAGUUGAACCUUGGGUCUGGCUGGCCGGUCCGCCUCACCGCGAGUACUGGUCCGGCUGGACCUUUCCUUCUGGGGAACCUCAUGGCCUUCACUGGCUGUGGGGGGAACCAGGACUUUUAC